GAUGAACGCUGGCGGCGUGCCUAAUACAUGCAAGUCGAGCGAACAGAUGAGGAGCUUGCUCCUCUGACGUUAGCGGCGGACGGGUGAGUAACACGUGGAUAACCUACCUAUAAGACUGGGAUAACUUCGGGAAACCGGAGCUAAUACCGGAUAAUAUAUUGAACCGCAUGGUUCAAUAGUAAAAGACGGUUUUGCUGUCACUUAUAGUUGGAUCCGCGCCCGAUUAGCUAGUUGGUAAGGUAACGGCUUACCGAGGCAACGAUGCGUAGCCGACCUGAGAGGGUGAUCGGCCACACUGGAACUGAGAAACGGUCCAGACUGCUACGGGAGGCAGCAGUAGGGAAUCAUCCGAAAUGGGCGAAAGGCUGAAGGAGCAACGCCGCGUGAGUGAUGAAGGUCUUCGGAUCGUAAAACUCUGUUAUUAGGGAAGAACAAAUGUGUAAGUAACUAUGCAAGUCUUGACGGUACCUAAUCAGAAAGCCGCGGAUAACUACG
rnacentral:rRNA from 1 species